ACACGCUGAACUUAAGCAUAUCAAUAAGCGGAGGAAAAGAAACCAACAGGGAUUGCCCUAAUAACGGCGAGUGAAGCGGCAACAGCUCAAAUUUGAAAUCUGGCCUUCUGGUCCGAAUUGUAAUUUGUAGAGGAUGCUUUUGGUUAGGUACCUUUCGAGUUCCUUGGAACAGGACGCCUUGGAGGGUGAGAGCCCCGUACGAUUGGAUACCGAGCCUCUGUAAAGCUCCUUCGACGAGUCGAGUAGUUUGGGAAUGCUGCUCUAAAUGGGAGGUAAAUUUCUUCUAAAGCUAAAUACCGGCCAGAGACCGAUAGCGCACAAGUAGAGUGAUCGAAAGAUGAAAAGCACUUUGAAAAGAGGGUUAAAUAGUACGUGAAAUUGUUGAAAGGGAAGGGCUUAUGACCAGACCUUUGCCUUGCGGAUCAUCCGGUGUUCUCACCGGUGCACUCCGCUUGGUUGAGGCCAGCAUCAGUUUUGGCGGCCGGAUAAAGACUUCAGGAAUGUGACUCCUCCGGGAGUGUUAUAGCCUGCUGUGUAAUACGGCCGCUGGGACUGAGGACCGCGCUUCGGCUAGGAUGCUGGCAUAAUGGUCAUCAGCCACCCGUCUUGAAACACGGACCAAGGAG
rnacentral:rRNA from 1 species